UACGUAGGGUGCAAGCGUUAAUCGGAAUUACUGGGCGUAAAGCGUGCGCAGGCGGUUAUGCAAGACAGAUGGGAAAGCCCCGGGCUCAACCUGGGAAUGGCGAUGGAUACUGGCUCGCUAGAGUGCGGUAGAGGAGAGUGGAAUUCCCGGUGUAGCAGUGAAAUGCGUAGAGAUCGGGAGGAACAUCAGUUGCGAAGGCGGCUCUCUGGACCAGCACUGACACUGAGGCACGAAAGCGUGGGGAGCAAACAGG
rnacentral:rRNA from 1 species